UUUCCCUCUCCCCGAAAGUUUUUUGCCGCCGCAUUCCACCCUUUUAUCUUCUCAAUCCAUCCCUCUUUUCUCUUUUCUCACAAUCUCUCGCUCACCGGAGCCGCGCAGGAGCAGCAGCAGUCCACGAGUCCAUUAAGGACGCCCUCACCGACAAAACCUCCGACAUGAAAUCCACUAACAGUAAGUGUCCUCUACUUCUUCCUCCUGCAUCUUCUCGUUGAAAACCCUAGAUGCUCCACUGCCUUCCAUCCUAGAUGGGCCUCAGGUUCGCUUCUUCCACUUCGCUCACCUCUGCUACUUCUCCUCCUCCUUAUCAAGCCUCCGCUUGUUUUCUCUUCGAGAUCCUCGCCUCCUCCACCCCUUCCUCCAUCGAGCCUCUGCUUAUUUUCUCAUCACCCUCCUCCCUCUCCCUCCUCCACUCCUUGUCAAUCUUGCAUCCGCCGCUCGCAGUUACAAAUCUGUGGUUGUUCAGCCCCUGCUGGCCAUGCCCACCACAAGUGCCCUGGGGACCGACCCUUUGGAGUUUCGGUUCAACAAGGUAAUUGAGUCGCUCGUGGAUCGAAUUGAUCUAUCGGAAGAAGAGGCGGAAGUGUGCCUCAAGCUUCUACUCAAUGAAGCCAACGAGGCUUUAAUUAGCGCCUUCUCCAAGAGAGGAAAUGUGGACAAUAGUGUUAAAUGCAAUUGCGCAGAUCUUUUCCAGAGACUGUUUAGGCAAGACCUCCAAGCCCAUUCUUUACAAAGCAACUGACAGCUUUUGAGGUGUGGCUAGCCCAUGGCUCUGAACACAAGAAACCACCAGAACAGCUACCAAUAGUUCUUCAGUCUUGUCAGGUAGAUCUGGUGAAAGAUGGUGGUCACACAUAUUUUAUCAAGUUUCAUGAUAGCAUGGAUGCCUAUGCUGAGCAGCGAGCAAUGGCUGCUUUUGUCUUGGCAGUUGUAGUGGAUGGACAUCGGCGGGGACAAGAAGCAUGUAUUCAAGCAAAUUUGUUAAAUGUAUGCCUGAAGCAUUUACAAAUUUCUAAUCCAAGUGAUGGGCAAACUGAACCUUUACUCCUCCAUGGCUUUGUUUAUGUCUGGGAAAGCUCUGGGAAGAUUUUCUAGAAGUACAAAUCAUAGGUUCUCAUGCAGAUGGAGUAGCAACUAUUUUACCUUAAUUGUUGGAACCAUAGCCUGAGGUUAGAGCUUCUGCUAUUUUUGCUUUAGGGAUUCUUAUUGAUGUUGCAUCUAUCACAUUUGAUAAUGGACAUAGAGUUGAUGAGGACUUUGAGGAUAAUGAAAAGUUAAAGUCUGAUUUGAAUAUCAUUAAAAAUCUUCUACAACUUGCUGUGGAUGGAAGUCCUUUGGUGAGGACUGAGGUUGCUGUAGGUAUGUGCAACUAUUAAAGCUUUACUUAUAUGUUGUUUUCUUAUUGGAUUCUCAAGUUUAUGCUCUUAAUUUGAUUUCACAACUAAGGUGUUAUUAACUAAGACUCAAUUGUUUCACAGCUCUUGCUCACUUUACAGGCUAACACACUCAGGUAUGAAACAAAUGAAGACAUGUCUAUAGCACAGGCUAUUAAGCUAGUCAUGGAGAGGCAUUCAAUAUGAUGCAUUAUUAAUGAAUUAAGUCUACUUUAUGAGAUUUCAGAUUUUUUAUUAUUCAUAGGCAUUUA